rnacentral:rRNA from 1 species
GACAGAGGGGGCAAGCGUUGCUCGGAAUUACUGGGCGUAAAGGGCGCGUAGGCGGGAUGGCAAGUCGGUCGUGAAAUCCCUCGGCUCAACCGAGGAACGUCGAUCGAUACUGCUGUUCUUGAGGAUUGCAGAGGAACGCGGAAUUCCAGGUGUAGCGGUGAAAUGCGUAGAUAUCUGGAGGAACACCGGUGGCGAAGGCGGCGUUCUGGACUGUUUCUGACACUGAGGAACGAAAGCCAGGGGAGCAAACGGG